AGAAAAAAAACCUCACCGCAAAUGCAGUGAGGCAGCAGUCCAUCUCUCCCUGUUCGGGAGCGGUGGCACGGAAUGCUCCUAUCAGACACGCCGUGCGCGAGUAGGAACUGCUUUUCAAUUAUGGGAGAGGAGAAACCGGAGGAAGAGCUUAUGGGGAAACGUAAGUCUUCUCCGCGG
rfam:Brevibacillus borstelensis AK1 seq_num_001, whole genome shotgun sequence.